ACUCCUACGGGAGGCAGCAGUAGGGAAUUUUCCGCAAUGGACGAAAGUCUGAUGGAGCAAUGCCGCGUGAGUGAUGAAGGUUUUCGAAUUGUAAAGCUCUGUUGUAAGGGAAGAAUAGCAAGAAUAGGAAAUGAUUCUUGUCUGACGGUACCUUACCAGAAAGCCACGGCUAACUACGUGCCAGCAGCCGCGGUAAUACGUAGGUGGCAAGCGUUAUCCGGAAUUAUUGGGCGUAAAGCGCAUGUAGGCGGCUUUUUAAGUCUGAUGUGAAAGCCAGUGGCUCAACCACUGAAUUGCAUUGGAUACUGGAAAGCUAGAAUCUUGGAGAGGUAAGUGGAAUUUCAUGUGUAGCGGUGGAAUGCGUAGAUAUAUGAAGGAACACCAAUGGCGAAGGCAGCUUACUGGACAAGUAUUGACGCUGAGAUGCGAAAGUGUGGUAGCAAACAGGAUUAGAUACCCUGGUAGACAUCA
rnacentral:rRNA from 1 species